rnacentral:rRNA from 1 species
AUUGAACGCUGGCGGCAGGCCUAACACAUGCAAGUCGAGCGGAUGAAGGGAGCUUGCUCCUGGAUUCAGCGGCGGACGGGUGAGUAAUGCCUAGGAAUCUGCCUGGUAGUGGGGGAUAACGUCCGGAAACGGGCGCUAAUACCGCAUACGUCCUGAGGGAGAAAGUGGGGGAUCUUCGGACCUCACGCUAUCAGAUGAGCCUAGGUCGGAUUAGCUAGUUGGUGGGGUAAAGGCCUACCAAGGCGACGAUCCGUAACUGGUCUGAGAGGAUGAUCAGUCACACUGGAACUGAGACCCGGUCCAGCCUCCUACGGGAGGCAGCAGUGGGGAAUAUUGGACAAGGGGCGAAAGCCUGAUCCAGCCAUGCCGCGUGUGUGAAGAAGGUCUUCGGAUUGUAAAGCACUUUAAGUUGGGAGGAAGGGCAGUAAGUUAAUACCUUGCUGUUUUGACGUUACCAACAGAAUAGGCACCGGCUAACUUCGU